rnacentral:lncRNA from 1 species
AGGCGGUGUCCGGGGAUCUGGUUUCAUUCCCAUUGCAGAGUAUGGAAGUGAGUUUGUAAAGGGUUCUAGCAGAAAAGCUGUGAGGCUGUUGUUCAGCGGUAAGAACCAUUAUGACCUUCUGUUAUGAGAGGUUCUAGCAGAAAAGCUGUGAGGCUGUUGUUCAGCGGUAAGAACCAUUAUGACCUUCUGUUAUGAGGAAUUGUAUCGAUGAAGGAGGAAAAAGAAUUAUAAUAUCAAUAUGAUUCUAGUCAUAUUGUAAGUUCACUUCUGUUUUUAAAACUUAUUUCCCAAAACAAAGUAGUUACUUUUUUUUUCAUGUGUUAUUCUGAUUCUUUAGGAUUAUCUUAUUUUUAUUAUUUAAAAAAUUAUAUUUAUGUUGGGUUUCAGCCCAUUCUUUUAUAAAAAAAAUGUACGAUUAAGAAAUUUGGCACAUGAACAGUGAUUGGACACAAGCGAUUAAUGUCCUUUAGUUAUUUGGCACAUGAACAGUGAUUCUAGUCAAAUUAUUUGGGCAUUUCCGAUUUCAACCUCUAACUUAAA